rnacentral:sRNA from 2 species
GGGCAGUCAUCGCCGAGUCCCCGUACGGCGCGAGCCAGGGGAGCCGGGGACCCACACGUCCCUUGGGGUGAAUCGGGAACCUUGCCGCAGGGCGAGGGACUCGUAGGAGACCUUCCUGCUCCGAACCCGUCAGCUAACCCGGUAGGCGAGAGGGAAGGAAAGG